GGGAGGGGGCGGGGCCGGGGCGGGAAUGGACCGGGAGCGGGGACGGGCCAGGAGCUGGGGCCGGGCGGUGACCCGGCAUCCAGCCCUUUUCCUGCCUGCACUGCGCCCCGCAGCUACUUCCAGACUAACUGCAAUCAGCCUCUCUUAGCAUCAUAAGAACUCGAAGGCGUGUUGCUUUAGGACUUACCGGGCGCACUUUCAUUCACGAAGUAGGAUUCAUUAAUUUAUUCAUGCUACAAGCAUUUAUUGAGCGCCUGCUGUGUGCAUACAUUCUGACGUCUAUCAUAUCUGCACCGUGGAAAUACUCUAUGAUGUGCUACUGCUCACCUCUUAUCAGCUUUUCAUUCAGUGACAUCCUUCAGCAGCUUGAAAUCUGCCCAUGGUGGGAGAAUUUACACCACGCAAAUCAGCAAAUGCUUAAUAACUGCUAAGUCGUCUAGACUUAAGAAAGUGGCGGAGAAAAUGUUCAUAUUACUGGUUAAACUUAAAAGUGUUGGAGGGUGCGGUGGCUCACGCCUGUAAUCCCAGCACUU
rnacentral:lncRNA from 1 species